GCUGCCAUUUUUACCCGCUCUCUCUCUCUCUCUUAGGUUAUGCUUUCAUAGGACAGAAGUGCAGAACUGGAAGACCAAUGCAAUUCUUGGUAGAGGGUGGGGAACAUGUAAUUGCUUGUGGACUUACCAUAAAGACCACCAUUGAUUUCCUGAACAUAAAAUGCCAAAUGUUUUAUCCACAAGUAACACUCAAUGGAAUCCUCUUGCCAGAAAAUCCUCUAAUUUGGACAUCCCUCCAUGAUCAUUGGCUCUUCAAACUGGAAUGAACCCAGCUUCACUAGGAUGUCCUGCUCAACCUUGUGCUGCCAGGAACAUAUGCUUGUCAGUGACCUGUUAAAGUGGUAUGCUGCUCUUUCUGGAGCAAAGGCUCAUCAUCAACUGCCAAAUGAUCAUCACUUCCCAGAAAAUGUGUUUCCUGAUCUCACAUCAGGUCUUUCUUCAUGCCAAGUGACUACCAAGUAUACACCUUCCGGUCCUUCCCAUAGCAUAUUCUGUGUAUCACUCUGAGUAUAUUAUCACGUGCCCUGUGGAACAGAUGCUACAAGGACUUCUAGUGACAUUUUUCCUGGAAAGUAUCCCUUUUAUCCCAAUACUUAGAAUGCAGAAUGUUAGCAUCUAUAACUCAGAGGCUUUCAACAUAUUAGCAUUUAGUGCUAUGCCAGAAUGACUAUACAUUCUGUUAUUCUGUUAGAAUGGAAAGAUUUAGUGAUCAGUAUGCAGUCAGUCUUGACCACCAUAGUAUGACUUUGACACAGUCAAAGAUAGGAUCACUUUGCUUUGAGGAUGGCAGUGGUGGGAGGCAAGACCAAUGAGGGCAAUGAUAUGCCACAAUGACAAGAGUACCUGGAACUCUAUUAGAAUAAAUGACAGACACACACACA
rnacentral:lncRNA from 1 species